rnacentral:sRNA from 1 species
UUACAAAAUUGCCGAAGACAGCAGGUGCCGAAAGGCAUAAACGCAGAACCUGCCGAGGGAAUUUACAAAACAGCUUAAUGUUUGGUAAAGAAGAAUUUUCUCCCUCUGUCUGCGUGACAGAGGGAUUUUUAUGUA